rnacentral:rRNA from 1 species
UUGUAAUUUGCAGAAGGUGCUUCGGAUGCGGCUGCGGUCCAGGUCCCUUGGAACAGGGCGUCAUAGAGGGUGAGAAUCCCGUUUGGACCGACCGCCAAUCCCGUGCGAAGCCCUUUCGACGAGUCGAGUUGUUUGGGAAUGCAGCUCCAAAUGGGUGGUAAAUUUCAUCUAAAGCUAAAUAUCCGCCAGAGACCGAUAGCGCACAAGUAGAGUGAUCGAAAGAUGAAAAGCACUUUGAAAAGAGAGUGAAACAGUACGUGAAAUUGUUGAAAGGGAAGCGCUUGCAACCAGACUCGCUCGCGGGUGCUCAGCCGUCCCUCGGGGCGGUGCACUCUCCCGCGAUCGGGCCAGCAUCGGUUCGGGCGGUCGGACAAAGGCCCCGGGAACGUGGCUUCCUUCGGGGAGCGUUAUAGCCCGGGGUGCAAUGCGGCCCGCCGGGACCGAGGACCGCGCUUUUUGCUAGGAUGCUGGCGUAAUGGUUGCCAGCGACCCGUCUUGAAACACGGACCAAGGAGUCGACCAACCGUGCGAGUGUUUGGGCGUCAAACCCAUGCGCGCAAUGAAAGUAAACGGAGGUGGGAGCCCCCGGGCGCACCAUCGACCGAUCCUGAUGUCUUCGGAUGGAUUUGAGUAUGAGCCCCGUUGGUCGGACCCGAAAGAUGGUGAUCUAUACGUGAAUAGGGUGAAGCCAGAGGAAACUCUGGUGGAGGCUCGCAGCGGUUCUGACGUGCAAAUCGAUCGUCAAAUUUGCGUAUAGGGGCGAAAGACUAAUCGAACCGUCUAGUAGCUGGUUCCUGUCGAAGUUUCCCUCAGGAUAGCAGUAACGAGUAAACAGUCUCAUGAGGUAGAGCGAACGAUUAGAGGCCUUGGGGUUGAAACAACCUUAACCUAUUCUCGAACUUCGAAUAUGUGAGAAGUCCUUGUUGCUUAGUUGAA